GCGGGUCUGAUGCAGCGGUAGAACCUACCGUCUGUAACGGAAGGUCCUAGGUUCGAGCCCCAGCUUCUACA
rnacentral:tRNA from 7 species